AUGAUCGAGGAACCUCAGACAGAGCAGAAGAGGAUCACUCCAGUCAGCUGUUCUGCUGAUGGUUCCUCAGUUUAUGCUCAGGGCAGUAUUGCCCCAGAGAGACACGGUCAGUUUGAUGAGCAAACACCCACCAAGCUGGAAGGGGCAUCUCUAGUCAUGAUAAACCUUCAACAGACCUCAGAGCCUAAUGAAGGUGGGGUUCAUGUUAUUCAGAUUGAGAAUAUUGCUUUAAAUGUCACUAGUGUUGCUAACAAUGAUUGGGACAUGACAUCUUCAUGGGGGAAGUCGUGGCCUAACGGUUAGAGUCUUGGACUUGGAAGAUUGUGAGUUUGAGUCUCGGGCCGGCAGGAAUUGUAGGUGGGGGGAGUGAAUGUACAGCGCUCUCUCCACCUUCGAUACCACAACUGAGGUGCCCUUGAGCAAGGCACAGAACCCCCAACUUCU
ensembl:lncRNA